GUUAAUAGGAAUUUAAAUAUUUCUUUUGCGGGAAAAAUAUUCGAUAACGACUAUGACG
rnacentral:tRNA from 1 species